GAAGCCCACCAGACCACCGCUGGUGCAAUCUGGGAAACCAGGCACUGGAGGAACGUCCGGACUGCACAGGGCAGCGUAGCAGCUAACGGCUGUCCACUGACCAGCCUUCCACGCAAGUGGCGGGCCCUAAGGUGAGGAUUAGAGCAACAGAGACGAGUCGGUGUAGACAAACCUUGCGGGUGUUCUAUGCGUGCACGCAGCCAGGCAACCCCCCGGGGCAAGCCACAUCGGGUGAAACGGGCAAUCUCUACGCGCAGCAAUACCAAGUAGGCACACGCAAAGCGAGGCGGUUCGCCGCAGCGCCAUGACCGGGACCCCCGGAGUGUGCGGGUAGGUAGCACCGAGCCGUUGGGUGACCAGCGGCCCAGAGUAAUGGUGGUCACGCGCAGGGCAACUUGCGUGCACAGAAUCCGGCUUAUCGGUGGGCUUCACAC
rnacentral:RNase_P_RNA from 1 species